rnacentral:rRNA from 1 species
GACGAACGCUGGCGGCGCGCUUAACACAUACAAGUCGAGCGACGAAAGGUCCUUCGGGGCCCUGAAAGCGGCGAACGGGUGAGUAUCACGUGGGUAACCCACCCUCGGUACCGGGAUAGCCCGGGGAAACCCGGAUUAAUACCGGAUAGCCUCUCCGAUCUGCGGAUCGGUGAGCAAAGGUAGCUUCGGCCUCCGACCGAGGACGGGCCCGCGGCCGAUUAGCUUGUUGGCGGGGUAGCGGCCCACCAAGGCGACGAUCGGUAGCUGGGCUGAGAGGACGAUCAGCCACACUGGGACUGAGACACGGCCCAGACUCCUACGGGAGGCAGCAGUGGGGAAUCUUGCGCAAUGGGCGGAAGCCUGACGCAGCGACGCCGCGUGCGGGAAGAAGGCCUUCGGGUUGUAAACCGCUUUCAGGAGGGACGAAGCCACUCGGGUGAAUAGCCCAGAGGGUGACGGUACCUCCAGAAGAAGCCCCGGCUAACUACGUGCCAGCAGCCGCGGUAACAC